AAAAACAAGAGUUUGAUCCUGGCUCAGAACGAACGCUAGCUAUAUGCUUAACACAUGCAAGUCGAACAUGGCUUGCUUCCCUAUCCAUCCACGUGGGGGCAGAAGGGCAAGAGGAAUGGCCCCCUCCUAGCGCGUUCUCACUCACUCAAAUGAUAUGCAAGUUGUGCGCCGAGCGUGGGGCAUAGCAGGAAAAGUGGCGAAUGGGUGCGUAACGUGUGGGAAUUUGCCGAACAGGUCACUCCAAAUCCUGAAUAAUUUAUAAAGCAAGCUAAUUCGCGUUGUUUGAUGAGCCCGCGUAGCAUCAGGUAGUUGGUUAGGUAAAGGCUGACCAAGCCAAUGAUGCUUAGCUGGUCUUUUCAGAUGAUCACCCACACUGGGACUGAGACACGGCCCAAACUCCCUCGGGGGGCAGCAGUGGGGAAUAUUGGACAAUGGGCUCACGCCCAAUCUAGCAAUAUUGCGUGGGUGAAGAAGGGCACUGUCGCUUGUCAAGCUCUUUUGUCGAGUUUCGAUCAUGACAGGACUCAAGGAAGAAUCCCUGGCUAACUCCGUGCCAGCAGUCGCGGUAAGACGGGGGGCAAGUGUUAUUCGGAAUGACUGGGCGUAAAGGGCACGUAGGCGGUGAAAAGGGUGGAAAGUGAAAGUCGCUAAAGCACUGGCGAGGUGAUUUCUUUACCAUUUCACUUGAGUGAGAUAGGGGAGAGUGGAAUUUCAUGUGGAGGGAUCAAAUCCUAAGAUAUAUGAAGGAACGCCAACCGCGAAGGCAACUCUCUGGGUCCCCACUGACGCUGGGGUGCGAAAGCAUGGGGAGCAAACAGGAUCAGAUACCCUAGUAGUCCAUGCCCUAAGCGAUGAGUGUUCUUCCUUGGUUUUCCUGCCUACUAGGUAGGAUUAGGAUCAGGGGCCCAGCUAACACGUGAAACACUCCCCCUGGGGAGUACGGUCGCAAGACUGAAACUCAAAGAAAUUGACGAGGGCCUACACAAGCGGUGGAGCAUGUGGUUUAAUUUGAUACAACGCGUAGAACCUUACCAGCCCUUGACAUAUGAACAAUUGUGCCUGUCCCUAACGGGAUGGUGCGAAAAUUCAUACAGGUGUUGCAUGGUUGUCAGCAACUCGUGUCAUGAGAUGUUUGGUUAAGUCCUAUAACGAGAGAAACCCUCGUUUUGUGUUGCUGAGAAAUGCGCCAACGGAUCAAUGUCAUCGCCCCUUUUCAAUGAAUCAAUAGGGCGAGGGUGAGGAAACAAAACCGCUCGCCCGAUAGAGGAGGGCGAGGCAAGCGCCUCUUUUUGAUUGAUGACACUCCUAUGAAGGUAGGUGUGUGCUCCACUCACAAGAGACUGCUAGUGAUACGCUGGAGGAAGGUGGGGAUGACGUCAAGUCUGCAUGGCCCUUAGGGGUUGGGCCACACACGUGCUACAAUGGAAAUGACAAUGGGAAGCAAGGCCGUAAGGUGGAUCGAAUCCGGAAAGAUUGCCUUAGUUCGGAUUGUUCUCUGCAACUCGAGAACAUGAAGUUGGAAUCGCUAGUAAUCGCGGAUCAACAUGCCGCGGUGAAUAUGUACCCGGGCCCUGUACACACCGCCUGUCACACCCUGGGAGUUGAUUUCACCCAAAGCAUCAAACCAAUGAUGACCCUAUCUAUAUAUGUUCCACUAGUGUGGCCCAUGGAGGUUGGGGUGGUAUUAUUGGCACAUACCACAGUGGAGUCUUCGACUGGGGUGAAGUCCUAACAAGUUAGUUGUAGGGGAACCUGCAACUGGAUCAAAUCCCUA
rfam:Picea glauca, whole genome shotgun sequence.